AUCUCCUUUCCCCUCCCUCACACACUCACACCAAUUGUGACACCUUUUCAAGGCUGUCCUUUAAUGUGUGUGUUUGGAAAGUAGAAAAGGAGGCGGCAAAGAAAUACACGUAAUACAAUUUACUCCAAGACCCAAGACUUAAGACCAUGUAUCAGAGAUGACUUCGCUUAGGGGUUCAGAAAAUUCACUGGCAGAAGUCCAAGAUUAAGGUGCCAGCACAUUUAGUUUCUGGCAAGGCGUCUGUUCCUGGCUUGCAAUGGUCACCUUCUGAAUGGAUCUUCACAUUGAUAGAAAAGAGCUAUACGAAACCUUUGGGGCCAUACUAUCCCUCUCGGGACAUACUCAGAACAAUGCCAGCUGGGUGGGAUUGGAGCUGCUGUUCUCCCUUGACACUGGUUUGGAUGUCUGGUCACCUUCCGGGAUCAUCCUACAGAUGAGUGAAUCAUGCAAACGCAGUUGCUCCUGGCUUCCUCUCUUUCCCACCUGGUCCAAU
ensembl:lncRNA